AUUGAACGCUGGCGGCAGGCCUAACACAUGCAAGUCGAGCGAGCGGCGGACGGGUGAGUAAUGUCUGGGAAACUGCCUGAUGGGGGGGGAUAACUACUGGAAACGGUAGCUAAUACCGCAUACCAUCAGAAGUGCCCAGAUGGGAGUAGCUAGUAGGUGGGGUAACGGCGCACCUAGGCGACGAUCCGUAACUGGUCUGAGCGGAUGAUCAGCAACACUGGAACUGAGACACGGUCCAGACUCCUACGGGAGGCAGCAGUGGGGAAUAUUGGACAAUGGGCGAAAGCCUGAUUCAGCCAUGCCGCGUGUGUGAAGAAGGUCUUCGGAUUGUAAAGCACUUUAAGUUGGGAGGCGUUACCAACAGAAUAAGCAACGGCUAACUGCGUGCCAGCCGCCGCGGUAAUAC
rnacentral:rRNA from 1 species